CUCUGAUUUCUUAAACUUCAAACUUAUAAAAUCUGUUAUUUAUUUAAUCCCCUCAUACUUUCAGAGUAUGAGGAGGCUAAAACAUAUAAUGGUUGUUUUCAACUGGAAGACUGGAAGAAAGUGCACAUCUCAUCAGCCUCUUUUUGCCGGUUUCAAAGGAAAACAUCCAGCGGCACCUCGGCUGACCUGCAGCCAAACAUUCAGGUGUUAUACUAAGAUGGGGAUUGCUUCAGCAGCCUAAGGCGACAGGAGAACACAGCAGCUGUUCAGAGGAAACAUGAGGAAUUCACGUCUGUACAAAAAUGGAGAAAGAAGAAUCUUAUGAAUCUUAUGAAGAGGCCUGCACUUCCUAUUGAACGUCCAUCUUCAGUCAGCUGUGGUCCACAAGGGAGAAACAGCAACAUGAGAAAUCAUGUAAGUCCCCUGGAAAUUCAACUCAUCUCUACGGUCUCUUCACACAUUUCAAUUCAACUCAAUUCAAAAAUACUUUUUUGAUUCCAAAGGGAAAUUAAAUAUUACAUUUAAUUAUAGAAUUUAUUAAUGUAGUAAUUCAUACAUCACUGCACUUUUUAUUUUUAAAACACAGGUAAUGUUAAUGACAGAUUUUAUUUUUUGUCUUUUGUUUGUUUUCUACAAUUAAGUCCUGAAAUAAAAGUGCUGCAUCAGUUGACUUGCUGCUUAUCCCUGUGGCCCAUGGUGCAGUGCUGCAUCUCUGGUCAGUUGGUAGUCUGAGAUGAAGCACUGUAGCUCGGGACGGAGGACAGACAGAGCUGUUGAGGUAACACGGAAGAAGCAUCUAUCAAGAUUGGCGGGACUGUGACUUGUUUCUCUAGAGAAGAAAGGAGAAAAUGAAUCUGGCAUCCAUGAAGUUAUAACAGAUAUUCUGUCAUCCAUUCUGUAAUUUUUUCUGUUUUGCAUUGCUUAUUUCUUAUUUUAUGAACUCCAGCUGAAUUUAUGAAAUAAGAACUCAAUUUUUCUUUUUUUGUUCUUUUUUUUUUCCAAAAGUAGAAUUUUGAACAUUCAGUCUUUUCAGUUUGUUUUUCCUUUACCCUUUUCUCUGGGGUCCAGUUUUCCCAGGAAUCCCUUCACUCAUGAGAAAGGGGGAUUCCUGGAAAUACUGAUCUUGGGGGGGAGGCUUCUCACCAAGUCCAGAAUGGCAUUAAUAGAGUAGAAGGAACUAAUAUGUGUCUGCUCUUCAGCUGAACUCCUAAAAAAAAAGAGUUGACAGCUGUGAGAUAUCUUAAAAAAGACAAAGUGAUUUACGCUCCUCAUGUUUUACUUGCAUAUCAUUGUAAAUUGUACAUCUAAUGUAUUUGGUUGUCUGACAGAAUAAAGGAAACAGUUAAAAUAA